UGAUAUGAUCAUAGCCCCGUCUAGUUCAUCUCUAGCAUAAUUCAUCUUGCUAAAAUUUUAACCCUAGAUCUUUUGCAAGUAGAAAGAAAAUUUGUUUAUAUUUCGUGUUCUUAGAUGUAAACAUAUUUAUAGGAGGCUUAACCCAAGAAGAAAGGAAAAUACAAGAGAAAAGGACUCCAAUUCUUCCGUUAACAAAAUAGAAAUUUUUCUUAUCGGAAAAAAGGAGAUUGUUUAAUAAUUUCCUUAAUACUCCCGAAACGGAAAAUGGCAAGAGGGCAUUGUAACUUGGAAAGAAAGUUAUUGAUUCAAGGCAUCAAAAUGAAGCUCAGAUUUUCUUAACAUUUU
rnacentral:sRNA from 1 species